UUUCCGUUUACUAUUUCCUUUAUUGCACUUCAAGAUUAGACAAAAAAUAAACCUUUUGCAGCGGUGCCCCAGCCCCAAAGUGCAAAGUUUCGCCCUCCCACCCCCACCCCCUUCCCGGCCCUGAUAUGUGUCCAGAGGGCCCGGAUGCCUGGGUCCCUCAGCCAGCUCGGGGACCUCCCUGCCCCAAACCUGGGCGGGAGGGAGGGAGCGGGAGCCCCGCUUGCUCCAAAAAGCCCCAAAACGGCCCAAAUUGGCCUUGGGGCUGAGGCAGGGCAGGCGGGAGGGGAGGGGGACGCACCGCGGGGACGGGGCCAUCAUCAUCGAGGUGCCAUCAUCCCCGGGGUGCCAUCGUCCCUGGGGCACCAUCGUCAUCGGGGUGCCACCAUCGUGAGGGUGCCAUCCUCAUCAGGGUGCCACCGCCAUCGGGGUGCUGUUGCCAUCGGGGUGACAUGGCCCCUGGGGUGUCCCUGAGGCCACAGGGCAUCAUCGCCAUCAGGGUGUCAUUGUCCCCUAGGGUGUCACUGCCAUCCGGUGGUGCCAUCAUCUCCACGGUGUCCCCGAGGGCAUGGGGGGCCAUCGUUGUCGGGGUACCAUCAUCCCCAGGAUGCCAUUGUCAUUGGGGUGCCAUCGUCACUGGGGUAUCCCCAGGUCACCCCCGAGGCCGCAGGGCCUCACCCUCCCCGGAGUGCCAUCGUCAUCAGGGGCAUCCCCAUCCCCGGGCCACCCCCAAGGCCACAGGGUGCCCCAUCCUUGGCGGCGUUCCCGUCCCCGGGAUGUCCCAAGGCUGCAGGCUGCUUCUGUCCCUGGGGUGCCCCCAUCCCCAAGGCAGCCCCAUCCCUGGGGAUGUCCCCGAGGCCAUGGGGCGUCCCCAUCCCUAGAGUGUCCCCAAGGCUGUGGGGCGUCCCCAUCCCCGGGGCAUCUGCAUCCCUGGAGCAUCUCCAACACCACGAGGUGCCACUGUCCCCAGGGUGUCCCCGUCCCUGGCGGUGUCCCCGAGGCCAUGGGGCGUCUCCAUCUCUGGAGCAUCUCCGAGGCUGUGGGGCGUCCCUGUCCCCAGGGCGGCCCUGUCCCUGGGGCAUCCUGGAGGCCGUGGGGCAUCUCCAUCCCUGGAACAUCUCCAAGGCCACAGGCUGCUGCUGUCCCUGGGGUGUCUCUGUCCCUGGGGCAUCCCCAAGGCUGUGGGGCAUUCCCAUCUCCAGGACAUCCCCAUCCCUAGAGCAUCUCCAAGGCCGUGGGGCAUCACCGUCCCCAGGGCAUCCUCAUCCCUGGAGCAUCCCCGAGGCCAUGGGACGUCCCCGUCCCCGGAGCAUCCCCGAGGCGGUGGGGGCGUCCCCGUCCCCCCGGGAGGACUGGGGG
rnacentral:lncRNA from 1 species